rnacentral:rRNA from 1 species
AUGAACGCUGGCGGCGUGCCUAAUACAUGCAAGUAGAACGCUGAAGGCAGGAGCUUGCUCUUUCCGGAUGAGUUGCGAACGGGUGAGUAACGCGUAGGUAACCUGCCUGGUAGCGGGGGAUAACUAUUGGAAACGAUAGCUAAUACCGCAUAACAGUAGAUGUUGCAUGAUAUCUACUUAAAAGGUGCAAUUGCACCACUACCAGAUGGACCUGCGUUGUAUUAGCUAGUUGGUGAGGUAACGGCUCACCAAGGCGACGAUACAUAGCCGACCUGAGAGGGUGAUCGGCCACACUGGGACUGAGACACGGCCCAGACUCCUACGGGAGGCAGCAGUAGGGAAUCUUCGGCAAUGGACGGAAGUCUGACCGAGCAACGCCGCGUGAGUGAAGAAGGUUUUCGGAUCGUAAAGCUCUGUUGUAAGAGAAGAACGAGUGUGAGAGUGGAAAGUUCACACUGUGACGGUAUCUUACCAGAAAGGGACGGCUAACUACGUG